rnacentral:rRNA from 1 species
UACAGAGGUGGCAAGCGUUGUUCGGAAUUACUGGGCGUAAAGGGCGCGUAGGCGGCCUACUAAGUCAGACGUGAAAUCCCCCGGCUUAACCUGGGAACUGCGUCUGAUACUGGAAGGCUUGAGGAUGGGAGAGGGAUGUAGAAUUCCUGGUGUAGCGGUGGAAUGCGCAGAUAUCAGGAGGAACACCGAUGGCGAAGGCAGAUCUCUGGGCCGUAACUGACGCUGAGGAGCGAAAGCGUGGGGAGCGAACAGG